rnacentral:rRNA from 1 species
GACGAACGCUGGCGGCGUGCUUAACACAUGCAAGUCGAACGGUAAGGCCCUUCGGGGUACACGAGUGGCGAACGGGUGAGUAACACGUGGGUGAUCUGCCCUGCACUUCGGGAUAAGCCUGGGAAACUGGGUCUAAUACCGGAUAGGACCACUGCCUGCAUGGGUGGUGGUGGAAAGCUUUUGCGGUGUGGGAGUGGGCCCGCGGCCUAUCAGCUUGUUGGUGGGGGGAUGGCCUACCAAGGCGACGACGGGUAGCCGGCCUGAGAGGGUGACCGGCGACACUGGGACUGGGAUACGGCCCAGACUCCUACGGGAGGCAGAAGUGGGGAAUAUUGCACAAUGGGCGCAAGCCUGAUGCAGCGACGCCGCGUGAGGGAUGACGGCCUUCGGGUUGUAAACCUCUUUCAGCACCGACGAAGCGCAAGUGACGGUAGGUGCAGAAGAAGGACCGGCCAACUACGUGCCAGCCGCCGCCGUAA